UUAUCAUAGACGUGGACAUGGACAUUUGUAAACAUUAGUUGCUGGUACCAUGAAAAUAUGUAAUGUAGACUGUCCAGCUCAGAGAAUUUAAGAAGAAUGCAUCAUUCCUCAAAUUCUUAUAUAAUGCUGAACCUUAUGAAGAAUUAAAAAGGACUCAGAGAAACAGAGACAUUUGAUUGAAAAUCACAUUAUCCUCUCAUCUCAUCUGACUACAUCUCAAUUCAAAUUAUUCAAAUUACAAAGUGUUCUAUGCAACAUCUUUUUACACAGUAAUGUCAUAUUAUCCAUAAUUUGGACAAAAAAAGGACACUGCACUCUUUGGUUUAUGAAUAGGUUUUUUUUUUUUUUUUUUUUUGCUUUGGUACUAUUUUCACAAGUAAGGUGUAAACUCUUAGUACAAAAAGUGUUCAAAAGUUUGGAUUUUUGUACAAAAAGUACAAAAAUCCAAACUUCACACACUUGUAACAGUCAUUCUUUCAAAACCUGAUCUCAUGCUUUCAUUCUAGUUGUACAUAUUUCUACAUAAUCACUGUUUCAAAACAUACAAUCAUUGUAAUGUUGGGUAGAGGUGUGGCUCUACUGUGAUCCUGUCGAACUCUUCAGAGUCUUACAGAGCUCAGUUCAGCUGCAUCAGUGAACACAGACAAUGGUGCUCCUCUCUGUUAUUCUGCUCUUUGUCUUUGCAUGUGCUGCGUAUGGAAAUGAAAUUAAACCAACCAAAACUGAAGAGUUUGCUGUUGAGGGUUCAAAUGUUACAUUAUCCUGCAGUUAUUCAUCUGCACAAACUUUAUUCUGGUACCGUCAGUAUCCCGGAUCAGCUCCUGAAUUCCUUGUAGUUAUCGUAUAUGGUGCAAAAGAAGACAAGAAUUCUGAUGUAAAUCCCAGAUUCACUGCUAAACACAACAAAGAAAAGAAAAACCAUGUGGAUCUGGAGAUCUCCUCUGCUGCAGUAUCAGACUCUGCUCUGUAUUACUGUGCUCUGAGGCCCACAGUCACAGGAAACACUGUAACACUGUACAAAAACCUGUGACACAGUGAGAGAGAACAAGAAGAGCUGAUACAGAGAGUCAAACAGUCUUAAACUGACAAUGAUAUUACAUCCAUACAACAUACAGUACCGUCCUUCACUUAUGCACUCUGCUUUUUCCAAGUAAUUUAAUAAAUUCUGACACAUAAAAGUGUUAAAUGAUAAUCACAUUGUGCAGAAACAUUUCCACCACAGGGCUGCAGUGUUGUCAAAUGUUCUUCAGAAACUGCACACAUGGAUCUUUCUUUCUUUCUUUCUUUCUUUUUCUUAAUGAGAAAAACUGCACUAUUAUAAAUAAUAAUAUAAGUAAUACAAAAACAUGACAUCAAAUAAUAGAAUAUAAAAUAUUCACAACAUUUCAGGCAAUACACAUAUUUCAUGUUGUCUGUAUCUCAGAAGGACAGA